rnacentral:rRNA from 1 species
GACGAACGCUGGCGGCGUGCUUAACACAUGCAAGUCGAACGAAGAGCGAUGGAAGCUUGCUUCUAUCAAUCUUAGUGGCGAACGGGUGAGUAACGCGUAAUCAACCUGCCCUUCAGGGGGGGACAACAGUUGGAAAGGACUGCUAAUACCGCAUACGAUCUAAUCUCGGCAUCGAGGAUAGAUGAAAGGUGGCCUCUACAUGUAACCUAUCACUGAAGGAGGGGAUUGCGUCUGAUUAGCUAGUUGGAGGGGUAACGGCCCACCAAGGCGAUGAUCAGUAGGCGGUCUGAGAGGAUGAACGGCCACAUUGGGACUGAGACACGGCCCGGACUCCUACGGGAGGCAGCAGUGGGGAAUCGUCCGCAAUGGACGAAAGUCUGACGGAGCAACGCCGCGUGAGUGAUGACAGCCGUCAGGUUGUAAAGCUCUGUUAAUCGGGACGAAAGGCCUUCUUGCGAAUAGUGAGAAGGAUUGACGGUACCGGAAUAGAAAGCCACGGCUAACUACGUG